rnacentral:misc_RNA from 1 species
UUUCCGUAGGUGAACCUGCGGAAGGAUCAUUAAAAAUGAAGCCGGGAAACCGGUCCUUCUAACCCUUGAUUAUCUUAAUUUGUUGCUUUGGUGGGCCGCGCAAGCACCGGCUUCGGCUGGAUCGUGCCCGCCAGAGGACACAACUCUGUAUCAAAUGCUGUCUGAGUACUAUAAAAUAGUUAAAACUUUCAACAACGGAUCUCUUGGUUCUG